rnacentral:rRNA from 1 species
UACGGAGGGUGCGAGCGUUUAUCGGAAUUACUGGGCGUAAAGUGUGCGUAGGCGGUCUUGUAAGACAGUUGUGAAAUCCCCGGGCUUAACCUGGGAACUGCAAUUGUGACUGCAAGGCUAGAGUGUGUCAGAGGGGGGUGGAAUUCCACGUGUAGCAGUGAAAUGCGUAGAGAUGUGGAGGAACACCGAUGGCGAAGGCAGCCCCCUGGGAUAACACUGACGCUCAUGCACGAAAGCGUGGGGAGCAAACAGG